GCUGUCAUGGUUCGUUUGCUAAACUGCAUCGUCGCUGUGUCUCAGAACAUGGGCAUCGGCAAGAACGGGGACCUGCCCUGACCGCCGCUCAGGAAUGAAUUUAGGUAUUUCCAGAGAAUGACACAAUCUCUUCAGUAGAAGGUCUUACCAGAAAUCAUCAAUUGAGGUACGGAGAAAUGGAACUGAGAAGAGUUUCGCUCUUGUUACCCUGACGGAGUGCAAUGGCACAACUUCAGCUCACUGCAACCUCUGACUUCCCAGGUUCAAAUGAUUCUCCUGCCUCAGGCUCCCAUGUAGCUGGGACUACAGGCACGUGCCACGACGCCUGGCUAAUUUUGUGUUUUUGGUGAAGACGGGGUUUCACAAUGUUGGUCAGGCUGGUCUCAAACUCCUGACCUAAAGUGAUCCGCCUGCCUCGGCCUCCCAAAGUGCUGGGAUUAUAGGCUUGAGCCACCCCAGAUCUUUAUUCUUUUUAUGUAGUAAAAAGUAUAAAGCCACGCAUGGUUUAUUUGAAAUAUUUUAUGUUUUAAAAAAAUACAGAAGCAGGAAAACCAAUUCUAAGUUCAAGUGAGGGAUGAUGGUAGUUUGAACCAAAGGGUUGCAUGUAGUAAGAAACUGUGAUUUAAGAUAUAUUUUAAAGUCAGAAGUAGCAGGAUAUUCUGAUGGAGUUUGCCCUGGGUUUGGGCCCACUGAGUUUGAGAUGCCUUUGAGAAAUGAAGAAAGUAGAGAGAGAAUAAAAGAAAAACUGGCCAGGCACAGUGGCUCAUGCCUGUAAUACAGUGGCUCAGCAUUUUGGGAGGCAGAGACAGGCAGAUACCUUGAGAUCAGCUUGGGCAACAUGGUGAAGCCCCAUCUCUACAAAAAAUACAAAAGUUAGCUGGGCAUUGUGGCGCACACCUGUAGUCCCAUCUACUCAGGGAGCUGAGAUGGAAGGAUCAAUUGAGCCUGCGAGUUCGAGGCUGCAGUGAGUUGUGAUUGUGCCACUGCACUCCAGCCUGGGUGACAGAAGAGACCUUGUCUCGAAAAAGAAGCUGAAAACAAUGGAACCAUGCCUUCAGAAUUCCAGAAAGAAAGUUAUUUUCAACGAAUAAAUCUAUAUUCAGCCAAAUAAUCAAGGGUGAAGAGACGAGGUUCUCACAAUGUUGUUCAAGCUGGUCUCCAACUCCUGAUCUCAAGCAAUCCUCUUGCCUUAGCGUCCUGAAUUGCUGGGAUUACAGGGGUGAGCUGUCAUGCCCAGCUUGUAAUGUACUGACACCUUCAAGAUUUCCUUCUCCAAGUGUGGACACAGCAGCAGACGCCCCUUGUCUCUUGGGUCAGGACACUGGGUAGAGUGGAAGAGCAAGACAACAAAGUCACUGCAGAAAGCAUACAUGUGGAAGAGGUCCAGCAGGGAGGGCCAGCUGUCCCAGGGACACCAUAUUUAGGGAUAACUCCUCUUUCUGGGCAGGACUGUUCUUUGAUUACUUUUAUAUUCACGAUAGUUCUGAAAUCGUAGGAUGAUGAUACUCAAGACUGGCUAGGAUUUGUUUUCAAAAAACCAUCUCCGAGACUUGUCGAUCUUUUGAAUGGUUUUUAGUGUCACAAUUUCCUUCAGAACUUAACUCAUUCUUAACAUUUCACAGACUACUUUCAGUUAAUAAUGUACUAGUGCCCAUAAAUAUAGAAAUAUUGCAACCAUUUAUCCUCUAUAAAAUGUCCAUCUUUUAUGGUAUAGAUAUUAUAUGUAAUAUAUCUAUAUAGGUUGUAAGUCCCACGAUAAAAAACUUUUUCUUAUCUUUAAACAGUUC
ensembl:lncRNA novel transcript